rfam:Hordeum vulgare subsp. vulgare, WGS project CAJW01000000 data, contig: morex_contig_65444
UUUAUACUCCCUCCACCUUAAAAUUCUUGUCUUAGAUUUGUAUAAAUAAGAAUGUAUCUAGUCAAGUUUUAGUAUUUAGAUACAUUAAUUUUUAAACAAAGUUAUGACAAGAAUUUUGAGACGAAGGGAGUAUGUG